rnacentral:rRNA from 1 species
UACGUAGGGUGCGAGCGUUAAUCGGAAUUACUGGGCGUAAAGCGUGCGCAGGCGGUUCGUUAAGUCUGAUGUGAAAGCCCCGGGCUCAACCUGGGAAUGGCAUUGGAAACUGGCGGGCUGGAGUAUGGCAGAGGGGGGUGGAAUUCCACGUGUAGCAGUGAAAUGCGUAGAGAUGUGGAGGAACACCGAUGGCGAAGGCAGCCCCCUGGGCCAAUACUGACGCUCAGGCACGAAAGCGUGGGGAGCAAACAGG